rnacentral:rRNA from 1 species
CCUACGGGUUGCACCAGUGGGGAAUAUUGGACAAUGGGCGAAAGCCUGAUCCAGCAAUGCCGCGUGUGUGAAGAAGGUCUUCGGAUUGUAAAGUACUUUCAGCGGGGAGGAAGGGAGUAAAGUUAAUACCUUUGCUCAUUGACGUUACCCGCAGAAGAAGCACCGGCUAACUCCGUGCCAGCAGCCGCGGUAAUACGGAGGGUGCAAGCGUUAAUCGGAAUUACUGGGCGUAAAGCGCACGCAGGCGGUUUGUUAAGUCAGAUGUGAAAUCCCCGGGCUCAACCUGGGAACUGCAUCUGAUACUGGCAAGCUUGAGUCUCGUAGAGGGGGGUAGAAUUCCAGGUGUAGCGGUGAAAUGCGUAGAGAUCUGGAGGAAUACCGGUGGCGAAGGCGGCCCCCUGGACGAAGACUGACGCUCAGGUGCGAAAGCGUGGGGAGCAAACAGGAUUAGAUACCCGCGUAGUC